GUUGAGCAAAGAAGAAGCUCAUCGAGAGGAAGAACGUCUGGGGUAGACGUCAACGAAAGAGAUUCCCGAGGUGCAAUGAGCUAAUGACGUAAUAGGAAGCACGAGGCCCUCGAACCUUGGCCUCGAGUACCACCUCUCAGUGUGACCGUCGCCGGCAGUGGCCCAAUCCCCGCCGGUCGUCGUUCACGUGUCUCCUUCCCCCGAAACACGUACAAAUACGGUACGGAACUAGAU